CCCAGAUCUUCUCGGCUUAGCGGCUGAAGACUGAUACUGCCCGAUCGCCUCAGAAGCCCCCUAGACCAUCACGGAUGCCGAGCUUCAGAAGGCAGGAACGUCAGGCCUCUGAGCCCAAGCCAAGCCAUCGCAUCCCCUGUGACUUGCACAUAUACACCCAGAUGGCCUGAAGUAACUGAAGAAUCACAAAAGAAGUGAAAAGGCCCUGCCCCGCCUUAACUGAUGACAUUCCACCAUUGUGAUUUGUU
rnacentral:lncRNA from 1 species